UACGGGGGGAGCAAGCGUUGUUCGGAAUUACUGGGCGUAAAGGGCGCGUAGGCGGCCUUCUAAGUCGAACGUGAAAUCCCUGGGCUCAACCCAGGAACUGCGUCCGAUACUGGAAGGCUUGAAUCCGGGAGAGGGAUGCGGAAUUCCAGGUGUAGCGGUGAAAUGCGUAGAUAUCUGGAGGAACACCGGUGGCGAAGGCGGCAUCCUGGACCGGUAUUGACGCUGAGGCGCGAAAGCCAGGGGAGCAAACGGG
rnacentral:rRNA from 1 species